rnacentral:rRNA from 1 species
UACGAAGGGGGCUAGCGUUGCUCGGAAUCACUGGGCGUAAAGCGCACGUAGGCGGAUUGCUAAGUCAGGGGUGAAAUCCUGGAGCUCAACUCCAGAACUGCCUUUGAUACUGGCGACCUUGAGUCCGGGAGAGGUGAGUGGAACUGCGAGUGUAGAGGUGAAAUUCGUAGAUAUUCGCAGGAACACCAGUGGCGAAGGCGGCUUCUGGACGAUAACGUGACGCUGAGGCGCGAAAGCUAGGGGAGCAAACGGGG